GAUGAACGCUGGCGGCGUGCCUAAUACAUGCAAGUCGAGCGCAAAGAUCAGGAGCUUGCUCCUGUGAUUUGAGCGGCGGACGGGUGAGUAACACGUAGGCAACCUACCCUUGAGAUUGGGAUAACUACCGGAAACGGUAGCUAAUACCGGAUAUGACCUUUCCACACAAGUGGAAUGGUUAAAAGGCGGAUUUAUCUGCCGCUCAUGGAUGGGCCUGCGGUGCAUUAGCUAGUUGGUGAGAUAGUAGCUCACCAAGGCCACGAUGCAUAGCCGACCUGAGAGGGUGAUCGGCCACACUGGGACUGAGACACGGCCCAGACUCCUACGGGAGGCAGCAGUAGGGAAUCUUCCGCAAUGGACGAAAGUCUGACGGAGCAACGCCGCGUGAGUGAUGAAGGGUUUCGGCUCGUAAAACUCUGUUGUUAAGGAAGAAUACUUGAGGUAGUAACUGGCCUUGAGAUGACGGUACUAACCAGAAAG
rnacentral:rRNA from 1 species